UAAUUUCAAAAGUUCAAACACUUCAAUACUUUAACUUCUAGAGUGUGUUCAACUUGGCCAGUCCUCCAAAUUUUGCAAAAAUCGCGUUGUCUUUUUUAUCAUCCAAAUACUAGAGAACUACAAAACUCGUAGUAUAUUUAUUGAAUGUCAAGUUUACAAGAACUUAACCUACAGAACGCAAAACUAAGCAGCCAAUUAAUAAUAUGAGAUUAUUUAAAAUAAGUAGAUUUAAUUUUUUUAUCGCAAUUUAAAUGUUUGUCCCCGUAUUUUUGCUUAUAUGUUACAAUUUUGUAUGUUACCACAAUUUCACCUCUAAUUAAGGUAAAACAUUUUGGUAAUAUUUUGUAUCGAUACUGGCAACACUUAAGUGUCCAUAGACAAAAAGAAAAAAAAACGCCAUUUUGUUUACUGUGGUGGGUUUGACAAAAAGUGAGUGCAGGUGUGUGUCGUCAUUCGGGAUUUAUUCGAUUUCAAAGAUUCACCAUUCCGAAGGCAAUGCUAGUGAUCAUAGCAGAGAAAGUAGUCCAGUUCCAAACCAGAGGGUCACAAACAUUAAAA
rnacentral:misc_RNA from 1 species